rnacentral:rRNA from 1 species
CCUACGGGUGGCAGCAGUGGGGAAUAUUGGACAAUGGGGGGAACCCUGAUCCAGCCAUGCCGCGGGUGUGAAGAAGGCCCUCGGGUUGUAAAGCACUUUCAGUGAGGAAGAACGCCUGGUGGUUAAUACCCAUCAGGAAAGACAUCACUCACAGAAGAAGCACCGGCUAACUCCGUGCCAGCAGCCGCGGUAAUACGGAGGGUGCGAGCGUUAAUCGGAAUUACUGGGCGUAAAGCGCGCGUAGGUGGCUUGAUAAGCCGGUUGUGAAAGCCCCGGGCUCAACCUGGGAACGGCAUCCGGAACUGUCAAGCUAGAGUGCAGGAGAGGAAGGUAGAAUUCCCGGUGUAGCGGUGAAAUGCGUAGAGAUCGGGAGGAAUACCAGUGGCGAAGGCGGCCUUCUGGACUGACACUGACACUGAGGUGCGAAAGCGUGGGUAGCAAACAGGAUUAGAUACCCGUGUAGUC